rnacentral:rRNA from 1 species
AAGAGUUUGAUCCUGGCUCAGGAUUAACGCUGGCGGCGUGCCUAAUACAUGCAAGUCGAACGGAAGUUUAAGCAAUUAAACUUUAGUGGCGAACGGGUGAGUAACGCGUAAGCAAUCUGCCCCUAAGACGAGGAUAACAGUUGGAAACGACUGCUAAGACUGGAUAGGAGACAAGAAGGCAUCUUCUUGUUUUUAAAAGACCUAGCAAUAGGUAUGCUUAGGGAGAGAGCUUGCGUCACAUUAGUUAGUUGGUGGGGUAAAGGCCUACCAAGACUAUGAUGUGUAGCCGGGCUGAGAGGUUGAACGGCCACAUUGGGACUGAGACACGGCCCAAACUCCUACGGGAGGCAGCAGUAGGGAAUUUUCGGCAAUGGAGGAAACUCUGACCGAGCAACGCCGCGUGAACGAUGAAGUAUUUCGGUACGUAAAGUUCUUUUAUUAGGGAAGAAUAAAUGAUGGAAAAAUCAUUCUGACGGUACCUAAUGAAUAAGCCCCGGCUAACUAUGUGCCAGCAGCCGCGGUAAUACAUAGGGGGCAAGCGUUAUCCGGAAUUAUUGGGCGUAAAGGGUGCGUAGGCGGUUAAAUAAGUUUNUGGUCUAAGUGCAAUGCUCAACAUUGUGAUGCUAUAAAAACUGUUUAGCUAGAGUAAGAUAGAGGCAAGUGGAAUUCCAUGUGUAGUGGUAAAAUGCGUAAAUAUAUGGAGGAACACCAGUAGCGAAGGCGGCUUGCUGGGUCUUUACUGACGCUGAGGCACGAAAGCGUGGGGAGCAAACAGGAUUAGAUACCCUGGUAGUCCACGCCGUAAACGAUGAGUACUAAACGUUGGGUAAAACCAGUGUUGAAGUUAACACAUUAAGUACUCCGCCUGAGUAGUACGUACGCAAGUAUGAAACUUAAAGGAAUUGACGGGACUCCGCACAAGCGGUGGAUCAUGUUGUUUAAUUCGAAGGUACCCGAAAAACCUCACCAGGUCUUGACAUGCUUCUGCAAAGCUGUAGAAACACAGUGGAGGUUAUCAGUUGCACAGGUGGUGCAUGGUUGUCGUCAGCUCGUGUCGUGAGAUGUUGGGUUAAGUCCCGCAACGAGCGCAACCCUUAUUGUUAGUUACCAGCACGUAAUGGUGGGGACUUUAGCAAGACUGCCAGUGAUAAAUUGGAGGAAGGUGGGGACGACGUCAAAUCAUCAUGCCCCUUAUGACCUGGGCUACAAACGUGAUACAAUGGCUGUUACAAAGGGUAGCUGAAGCGCAA